UAGCUAGACGGUGAAACUCUGGAUUAAUGUAUUGAGGUGAUAUCUACCUUCAUGUGACUGUUUAGCCUGAUUGCCAGUGUUAGGGUAAGUGAAGGCAGGAAAUAUAUCCUGGGUAUGUUGACCUUACUUCAUACAGAAUCUGGCGCUAUUGUUGUCUUGGCUCUUAGUGUAGACGGUUUUCCUCAGCCUGGAGCCAAUCAUCUGAAAGCCACGAAAUGCCCAACUAGGGACACAAAUAGCCUGGUCAGAAAGACGAAUCAGCUGAUUCCUCUGUGGGUAGGCGGACAAUGGGUGGAGCGGUCUACAAGUUUCGAGGAGAGGAGACAUGAACAUUACUGUUAUUCGUACUGCACUAAAGGACAAGAGCGCAAACUGCAUUAAGGACAGAAACAGCUGCAUGGUUUUGCUAACACAACAGCAACUCUUUUGAGUGCUUUGCACCUGUGGCUGCUGGCAGACCAUCCGGUGUGUUGCAGCUCCGGAGGGACCUUGAAGCCCGUCGCAGUGGGAGAGGGGAGUCUGUCCUGCUAACCGUUUUGAACCAUAAGGUGAGCGAGGUAGCGUACUGGUGAUCAGAGCAUCAAAGCUGCCAGUCAGCCCCAAGCCUGGCGCAUCAUUCUCGAGGUGAAUUACAGCACUACGAGAGCCCUUUUGUCCACGGCCACUGCUGUUACAGGCACAGCACGUCAAUCGGCAGCCUAAUUACUAUGAAGACGCCCCGCUCUCACCUGGUGCUGCUUUCAAACACUCAGAUUAAAGCAGCGUCGGUUAAGUUUUGGCACGACUUUCCUUUCAGUGGAUUACAGUGGAAUAGAGACAUUAGCAAGAUUUUAAUUUGGAUUAUCAGUUUUUGGUAAGUUACGUGAGAUAUAUCAUUAUUAAAGGUAAUUACAGCAUUUUAAAUAUUC